AUAGUUACUGAGGCCACUGCACGUAUCACACGAUGUUGGAUACAGUGGGCAAAAGAGGUCUGGAUUCCUUUAUUGAGCUGCUUCCGCCGUAGUGGGAAGACAGCAGGUGCACAUGCAACAAUGGAAGAACCAUUGAAAGUGGGUGCAUCUGGGACUGGAAGAGACUGCACACCUGGGGACCACGAAAGCCCAAAGAAAUCUAGAUAAGCUGGAAAGUUUACUUUCAAGCCUUCUAGUCCCUGAGAAGGUGGUUGGCCCAAAUGUGGACAUGUUUGAUCCAAGUUCAGAGAAGAGUGGGAAGAUCAAAUAAAGGUUCAGAGACUUCAAAAAAUAAAACCAGCAGAUGUGAAAAUGAAGCUGGAGGAGGUCUUGCACGUUUUCGUUGAAGGACGCUGACGACAUGCAAAAGGUUCAGUGGUGCCUCUGAGCUGGGACCGAAUGUCAUCUCAUUUGUCAUCUCGUGUGCCAUUUCUUAUCAUUCUGCUUGACUGUCAAUCAUUGCAUGAUUGUAACUUCAAAGACUCAUUUUGUUAAUAAAGAACCAUUAGGAAGCUAAGCUAGAAACAGAAAUUUAAAAAAGGAAAA